rnacentral:lncRNA from 1 species
CUCAAUAAAUAUUCAAGUCUUACAUCAUAAUCUACUCAAUUACUUUACAUUCCCAAAAUAUACAGCUUCCAAAAUCAAAUUUUAAACAAAUACAUUCACAAUUCUAAUCAAGUGAAGCAUCAAGUAAGCUUCUCCAGAAUUCCUCCCAUUUUAGCUCCUGUUAAGGAAAAACAAAUCUAACGGGUGAGCGGACGCUCGUGAGGCCAAGAAAAUAUGCAAGACAAGUAAUUCAAUAGCAAUAGCACUUACACAACAGUGACAACUAUAACAUUCAAGAAAUUCACAAUUUAUAAUAAACCCCCUUGAGUAGGAUGUAGGAGCUCUCAGGAGCUAAAUCUUUGUUUACUUUGCCCCAAGUUCAAUUCAAUACCUUCUCGUGACGACACCCCGUCACCCGGGUAGAUAAUUAAAUUCAUAGCACUUUACAUAUUUCAUUUAUGUUUCUGAGACGACUUGAGAGGCACCUCCCACCCAAAUCGGUAUGAUAUUUACUAUCGCUCAAUUUAUAGCUCUGAGACUGUCGCGCCCCAUUUUUUUGCGAUGGAAAAAGAAAGUGUUUAUAAAAAAUGUGAUUUAUUAAUAAUAAACGGAAAAGGACCAAGAAUGGGACUUAAAAAAAAUGCGACAAUUUGGGUCCAAAAUUUAGUCUAAAAGGGUUUUGAAGAAAAAUUAGGAGUCGCCACUUGGUAUCAAGUUUGGGUGUACCAAGUCACCCCAAAAUAUUUUUAACAAAAUAAAAUAAAAUAAAACCCUUUUAGACAACUCCAGGUCUUUGAAAACAAGAGAAAAUGAGUUCGGGAGUCACGGUUGAAGAAAGGGAAGGCAAAGGUUCAAUCAACUCAAACCUAAGACACCCUUUCAACCUAGUCUAAGCUAGUUGCGUGGUUUAGUCAAAAUUUUCUUAUUUUAACCCUUAAUUUAUCACAUUUUGAAUGUUUUCUACAUGGAUGCAAAUCUAAAUUCAUAAAAACAUCGAAAGGAACAAAUGUUCAUUCAAGGGUUUAAUUGAACCAAUCGCAUUAAAUGCAAAGGCCAAAAUAAUUCCUUGAAGGUGUCACGAGUAUGUCACGAAGCAAAUGAUGAAAUUAAAAGUAAAGAUAUAGAAAUUAAAUUAUAUACAUAGUUAUAAGUGAUCAAAGAAAAAGGAAAUGCAGCAUAAUGGGUACGGGAGACAAAAACUCGUGACAUAAUUUUCUUAUACAAGGAUUAAUGGGGUAUUUAAACUAAAGAGUUAUAAUCACCCAUAUCCAUGUUCAAAAAUAAUUCUCCUAAUAUGAACAAGCAAAUGAACUAACUUAUUUCACAAUUUCUUAAAUGAAGUGCAAUUCUAAAUGAUUUGAUUAACACAUAUAGAGGGUAGGGGGUAGAGGAUAAUAUAAUAGAAAAUAUCAUGCAAAUGAGAAAAUUCUAAAAAAUAAAAUAUACAUGGAAAUGUAAUGGAUAUCACACAAAAGAUGAAUCUAAUGCAUGAACAAUCUAAGGGUAUAGCGUUGGACUAACCCAUUUCUAAAAAUACUUACUAGCGUUGGACUAGCAAGUAAGCGGAGGGAGAAGCCACAACUAGCGUUGGACUAGUGUGGUGACGUUAUGCAUUAACAAUAUAUAGUGAAGCAAAUAAAGCAUAAAUUAAAACAAAUAAACACAUAAGAGCACGUAACACAUAACACGUAAGCAUAAUAUCUAUAUGCCAAAGUCCUAAGAAAAGCGGAUAAAACACAUAACACAUAAGCCACAUAAACACACAACUUAUCUAUUACAUCGGGGAGCGCCUGACUACAAUCUAGGAGGGAAAAAUAUAAUAAAACAAAUCUAAUUAUCCUAUCUAUUACAUUUUUGAGGUAUUUAAAUACCUCUCGAAUCAUUAUAAAAAUUAACUAAAACGUAUAUAAGAAAAUUUGAAUGAAUAUUUGAAUCAAAUAAAUAAAGCAUAUAAAAAUACAUAAACACAUAGGAACACAUAGAAGCACAUAAGAGCACGUAAUUGACAUUGAAAUAAUAAAAAUAGGGGUACCUCCCGUUUGAAGUGGUGACUAAAUGGGAAAUUGGAUUUGCCCUAUUUACCUCCAAAAUUAACAAAAUCAUCAAGGCACCAAUCUAAUUAACAAAUAAAUCAUAACAAAUGGAAAUAAAAAUAAAAUCAAUCAAUUGAAACACUUAAAUGAAGUGUAAUCAAUGACUAUAGAAGAAAAGCAACUUCUAUUUAAGCAAUCCAAUCUGUUAGGGAUCUAAUUGCAAGAAUAAACAAAGUUUUGGGGUAAAUUAUAAUUAUCAUAAAGAUAUGGGAUAAAAAUUAAAUAAAAAUAAAUUUUAGGGACCUAUUUGCAAUUAUAUUAAGGACCUGAUUGAAAGAAAUCAAAAUAUUUAGGGCCAUAGAGAAAAUGCUCAAAGGUACAGGGACUGAUUUUCAAUUUCGUAACCAGAUUUCUCAGCCAAAUGGGCCACUGGGCCAUCAUUUUAUUUAUUUCUGGGCCAAAAACUACCUAAGCCCAACCGAAACCCAAAGGAAAAUAAAUGGCCCAGCCCAUCUCUUUUGUCAAACAAACCCAGCUGAAAUACAUGGGAUUCAACUCCCAAGCCCAUCCGUAAAACCCAAAAAAAAGAACUAAAACCCAAGUCAAAAUCCAACUAAAAACAAACGCAAGCCCACUAAAACAAAUAACCCAACCCACUUUCCUUUUCUUUCUUUUCUUUUCUUUCUCUUUUCUUCCCCAUACGUUUCCUUUCCUUCUUCUUCGGCCAACCGAAGAAGCUUCAGCUGGCAGCCAUGGUGGCCGCCGGUGGCGCCGCCGCCACCGGACCGCCGCCGCCGAUGACCUCUCCGGUCACCAAAAAUCCUCAAAAUACACCUCCCCACUCGAUUUUUCGCGUAGAUUCCAUUUUCGGAGUUUGUUUUUACAAAAGAUGAUCUGAAAGUGGCCAAAAUGUCAAAAUACAGUCCAGUUUUUAUUUUUUAAAACACCCAAAUCUUUCACCAAAAAUCAUAAAAAAUAUAUUACAAUACUCCUUACAACUUCUGCAAUACAACUAUGAUUUAAUCCGGCAAGAAAACAACAUAAAAAACUAAAAUAAAUCAAAACAGUCCCCAAAAUUCAUUUUUUGUUAUUUUUGCAUUUUCACAAGCAAUUAACAUGCAUUCACAGAAAUCAUUUUUUUUUAUGUUUAUUCAUGGAUUCCCCAAAAAUUCAACAAUAUCAGUAACAACAACAAACGAAGCCAAGGGACAAACAAACAUCAAAUCAUGUAUUUAAUUUAAUAAAUUAAGGAAAGGAAAAAACUGAAAAAGAUGAAAGAAGAAUAAAUACCUCAAUGAAAAUUGUAGUCUCUUGACAAAAUUUGAUGAAAUUACAAGCUCCAAUAAUUUUUAUUGGCUUUGCCCUGUCCAAGAGAAAAUCUGAGAGUGAGUAUUUUAUUUUGCUAAAAAUGAGGAAGAGAAUCUGAGAGAGAGCCGAAAGAUUUUUCUUCCCUUCUGCACCCGAGGCCUGAGAGAGGGAGCAAAUGAGGGAGGUCUAUGGCAAUUUUUCUUCUUCUGCUUCUUUUGCUUUCUUUGCGGCCAAAGGACCUCUGAGAGUCAGUCCCCGAGAGAGUUUUCUUUUCUUCUCUCUUUUGUCCGUUGCUCUCCCGAGAGAAAUGAGGAUUCCGUCGUCUCCCAAAUGAGUUUUCCC